rnacentral:rRNA from 1 species
CGUAGGGUGCGAGCGUUAAUCGGAAUUACUGGGCGUAAAGCGUGCGCAGGCGGUUAUGCAAGACAGAUGUGAAAUCCCCGGGCGUCAACCUGGGAACUGCAUUUGUGACUGCAUAGCUAGAGUACGGUAGAGGGGGAUGGAAUUCCGCGUGUAGCAGUGAAAUGCGUAGAUAUGCGGAGGAACACCGAUGGCGAAGGCAAUCCCCUGGACCUGUACUGACGCUCAUGCACGAAAGCGUGGGGAGCAAACAGGAUUAGAUACCCUGGUAGUCCACGCCCUAAACGAUGUCAACUGGUUGUUGGGUCUUCACUGACUCAGUAACGAAGCUAACGCGUGAAGUUGACCGCCUGGGGAGUACGGCCGCAAGGUUG